rnacentral:rRNA from 1 species
CCUACCGGGUUACCGAAUUCAGUCAAACUCCGAAUGCCAGAGACUUUGUUCUGGGAGUCAGACCAUGGGUGAUAAGGUUCAUGGUCGAGAGGGAAACAGCCCAGACCGCCAGCUAAGGUCCCUAAGUGUGUGUUAAGUGGAAAAGGAUGUGGAGUUGCUUAGACAACCAGGAUGUUGGCUUAGAAGCAGCCACCAUUCAAAGAGUGCGUAAUAGCUCACUGGUCGAGUGACUCCGCGCCGAAAAUAUACCGGGGCUAAACACACCACCGAAGCUGCGGAUUGAUCCGGAUGGAUCAAUGGUAGGAGAGCGUUCUAAGGGCUGUGAAGUCAGACCGUAAGGACUGGUGGAGCGCUUAGAAGUGAGAAUGCCGGUAUGAGUAGCGAAAAAAGAGUGAGAAUCUCUUUCACCGAAAGCCUAAGGUUUCCUGAGGAAGGCUCGUCCUCUCAGGGUUAGUCGGGACCUAAGCCGAGGCCGAAAGGCGUAGGCGAUGGACAACAGGUGGAUAUUCCUGUACCGCCUUCCUUCCAUUUGAGUGAUGGGGGGACGCAGGAGGAUAAGGAGAGCGCACCAUUGGAAGCGUGCGUCCAAGCAGCAAGACGGUCGGAAUAGGAAAAUCCGUCCGGCAACGUCGAGCUGUGAUGGGGAGGGAAAUUGAGUACCGAAGCUCCGGAUUUCACACUGCCAAGAAAAGCCUCUAGCGAGGAAGGAUGGCGCCCGUACCGCAAACCAACACAGGUAGGCGAGGAGAGAAUCCUAAGGUGAGCGGGAGAACUCUCGUUAAGGAACUCGGCAAAAUGACCCCGUAACUUCGGGAGAAGGGGUGCUCCUCUGCCGAGGAGCCGCAGUGAAAAGGCCCAAGCGACUGUUUACCAAAAACACAGGUCUCUGCGAAGCCGUAAGGCGAAGUAUAGGGGCUGACACCUGCCCGGUGCUGGAAGGUUAAGGGGAUGCGUUAGCCGUAAGGCGAAGCGUUGAACCGAAGCCCCAGUAAACGGCGGCCGUAACUAUAACGGUCCUAAGGUAGCGAAAUUCCUUGUCGGGUAAGUUCCGACCCGCACGAAAGGUGCAACGACUUGGGCACUGUCUCAACGAGAGACCCGGUGAAAUUAUACUAUGCGUGAAGAUGCGCAUUACCCGCGACAGGACGGAAAGACCCCGUGGAGCUUUACUGUAGCCUGAUAUUGAAUGUUGGUACAGCUUGUACAGGAUAGGUGGGAGCCUGAGAAGCCGGAGCGCUAGCUUCGGUGGAGGCGCUGGUGGGAUACCACCCUGGCUGUACGGACAUUCUAACCCAGGACCGUGAUCCGGUCCGGAGACAGUGUCAGGUGGGCAGUUUGACUGGGGCGGUCGCCUCCCAAAGAGUAACGGAGGCGCCCAAAGGUUCCCUCAGAAUGGUUGGAAAUCAUUCGCAGAGUGUAAAGGCACAAGGGAGCUUGACUGCGAGACCUACAAGUCGAGCAGGGACGAAAGUCGGGCUUAGUGAUCCGGCGGUACCGUAUGGAAGGGCCGUCGCUCAACGGAUAAAAGCUACCCCGGGGAUAACAGGCUUAUCUCCCCCAAGAGUCCACAUCGACGGGGAGGUUUGGCACCUCGAUGUCGGCUCAUCGCAUCCUGGGGCUGUAGUCGGUCCCAAGGGUUGGGCUGUUCGCCCAUUAAAGCGGUACGCGAGCUGGGUUCAGAACGUCGUGAGACAGUUCGGUCCCUAUCCGUCGUGGGCGUUGGAAAUCUGAAAGGAGCUGUCCUUAGUACGAGAGGACCGGGAUGGACACACCGCUGGUGUACCAGUUGUUCCGCCAGGAGCAUCGCUGGGUAGCUACGUGUGGACGGGAUAAGUGCUGAAAGCAUCUAAGCAUGAAGCCCCCCUUGAGAUGAGAUUUCCCCUAACUAUAAGUUAGUAAGAUUCCUCAGAGACGAUGAGGUCGAUAGGUCUGAAGUGGACGCGUGGUGACACGUGGAGCUGACAGAUACUAAUCAAUCGAUGACUUAUCU